rnacentral:rRNA from 1 species
CUCUAAUAUAUCUUGGGCUGCACGCGUACUACAAUGGUGCUACCAACAGGCAAGCACUGUUCACGUCAGCUCUCCAGCUAGACUGAUUCUCCCACGUUAACGAAAGAACGGAGGUAAACCCUAAAGUGGCAUCCUGUCUGGAAUAGAAGGCUGUAACGCCGGCUUGAACGAGGAAUCCCCCGUAAGCGUGAGUCAACAUCCCGCAUUGACUACGUCCCUGCCUUUUGUACACACCGCCCGUCGCUCCUACCGUUAGUCCAGUUGGUCAGUGCUAUGAUCGUCGAGCCGCAAGGCUGGUUAUUGUAGCGCGAACCUGUUGGGCAGCAGGAAGGAGAAGUCGUAACA